rnacentral:rRNA from 1 species
AGAGUUUGAUCCUGGCUCAGAACGAACGCUGGCGGCGUGCUUAACACAUGCAAGUCGAACGUGAUUGGAAGCUUGCUUCCAUGAAAGUGGCGCACGGGUGAGUAACGCGUGGAUAACCUGCCCUGGUAUCUGGGAUAACAUCUCGAAAGGGGUGCUAAUACCGGAUAAGCCCACGGACUCUUCGGAGUCUGAGGGAAAAGGUGGCCUCUAUUUAUAAGCUACCGUAUCAGGAUGGGUCCGCGUACCAUUAGCUAGUUGGUAGGGUAAUGGCCUACCAAGGCGACGAUGGUUAGCUGGUCUGAGAGGAUGAUCAGCCACACUGGAACUGAGACACGGUCCAGACUCCUACGGGAGGCAGCAGUGGGGAAUUUUGCGCAAUGGGGGAAACCCUGACGCAGCAACGCCGCGUGAGUGAUGAAGGCUUUCGGGUCGUAAAGCUCUGUGCAGAGGGGAAGAAAUGGAACUGGCUAAUAUCCAGUUUUCUUGACGGUACCCUCAAAGGAAGCACCGGCUAACUUCCGUGCCAGCAGCCGCGGUA